UACGUAGGGGGCAAGCGUUAUCCGGAUUUACUGGGCGUAAAGGGAGCGUAGGCGGCCUGCCAAGUCUGAUGUGAAAUACCGGGGCUCAACCCCGGGACUGCUUUUGAAACUGUGUGACUGGAGUGCAGGAGAGGUAAGCGGAAUUCCUGGUGUAGCGGUGAAAUGCGUAGAUAUCAGGAGGAACACCAGUGGCGAAGGCGGCUUACUGGACUGUAACUGACGUUGAGGCUCGAAAGCGUGGGGAGCAAACAGG
rnacentral:rRNA from 1 species